UCCCCAGCUCCGAAAAAAAAAAAAAAAAAAAAAAAAAAAAAAGCUGUAGAUGGGCACAGAUGUGCUCCGGGACCCGAACCUCACAUCCGCAGUGGCUGCUUAUCACAGGGAAUGUAAUUCUCAAGCACUUUUCGAAACUACACCCUCCCCUAUCCCAAUCCCCUGCCCAUCAUGUAACCAUUGGCAACGGGCUGCUCCGUUACCCUUCCAUAGUGUGGUCCUUUGUCACGCCGUGUGUGCCCGCAGUUAGUGAGGUUGUAAUACUCAGAGUUAUUUGAACAAGCAAUGCUUAGACAUUCACACGACCCAAAGCAGGAGUGCGGGAGGCUGAGCAGCGUCUCUCUCGCCACCGCCACCGCAGCUCUGAGUCUGCUUUUAUUUCUCCCGUGUCCUCCCCUGAUUUGAAUAUGCAGAAACAAACAAUUCGCCGAUGAGCCCUUAUUUUCUCUCUACUCAAAGAGGCCAUUGAUGUCUGGCAAUUUUAUUUUCCCCCCACACAGCAGAGUCUCUGGGAGAAUGUGCCACAUUAUGUAUAUUGAACUGGCUCUCUCCCUGGGUUGUUGAUAAUGUUUUGUUAUUAAGAACACAGCUGCAAACAGAACCCGUGCAAGCUUGUGGUUUGCCGCGUGUGUGCAGACUUCUUGGCACAGAGGUACUCAGGAGGGAGCAGUGCCGGGCCCUUCAAUUGCUUUGCCAGCUCUUUCUUACCUAAUCACCUCUCCAAGCUCUGGACCCUCCCUGAAGUUCUGGAAGAGCCGAGGUUUCCAGAUCUUUCUGAGCAGUGUCUUGGUAACUCAGCACCGUUUGAAUUUUGGCAUCUCCUUCCAAUGUGAGCUGAUGCUUCGUCCAUGCUGGGCGCUAAAGCCUUUCUUUGUGGCUUCCUGCUUUUUAUCCCCCACUGCUUUUGCUGAAAGCUCGAUUUCAUUUUUCAUUAAUUUUUAGGAGACCUUUAUUGUAGAAAAUAUUGUUGAUAGAGGGAUGGAGAGACUUUCCUGCCAUUCACAUUAUGUGGCACUGGCUGGCCUGGAACUCUAAGUAGACCAGGCUGGCCUAGAGGAUUGGAAAUAUUCCUACCCCCUCUCUUUUCUCACUAUGUAGUCCUGGCUGGCUUGAAAUUCAAACUAGAUCAGGCUGGUCUUGAACUCACAGAGAUCUACCUGCCUCUGCCUCCCGAAUGCCGCCAUUAAAGACUCGAGCCAUUACACCCAGCUUGGUCUUUACAUUCUACAGCAUAACCAAAUUUAUCCAUUUCUACUUUUUUAGCAAAUUAAAACACGAUUCACUUACUUUUAUGUGUAUAAGUGUUUGCAGGCAUGUAUGUGUGUGUGUCACAUUUGCACAGUGACCUCAGAGGCCAGAAGAGGGAACUGGAUGCUUCAGAAUUGGGGUAAUAGGUGGUUGUGAGCACCCAUCCACAUGUGUGCUGGAAACUGAAUUCAGGUCCACUGCAAGAGCAGUAAGUGCGUUGUUUAUCCGCGAGCCAUCUCUUUAGCCCUUGGAUUUAUCAAUCUUAAAAAAACCGAGAAUGAUAUCGAACUAAAAAUUGACAUCAAACCUGAAAAUUUUUUAAAAUUUCUGGAUUAUGAGGCAGAAGUAGUGAGGUGAUUUCCCCUUUCACGGUGAUAGUGACAUUUGUCUACUAGCUUGGCAACUAAGGCUUUUAGUACUGAGGCUUUUUGUCACCGAGGUAAUCCCCCUGCAAGCAUCGAGGCAUCCUUCUGUGUGGUUUUUAUUACCUUUGCUCUACAUAAAUCAUAACACUGGCGCUGAAGAUGCUCCCAAGUCUGAGAUGCCCCCUUGGCUCUUCUCUUAAUUCUUUUUUCUGUCGCUCUGGCAAACACCCUAACAAAAGCAACGUAAGCGGGGUUGGGGAUUUAGCUCAGUGGUAGAGCGCUUGCCUAGUAAGCGCAAGGCCCUGGGUUCGGUCCCCAGCUCCGAAAAAAAGAAAAAAAAAAGCAUCAUAAGAGUUUGUUCUGGCUCAUGGUUUGAGGACGCACAGUCCGUCAUAGCAGAAGGCACGACAGCAGGAGCAUGAGGCUGGUCACGUGGCACCCAUGAUCAGGAAGGAGAGAGAGAGAGAGAGAGAGAGAGAGAGAGAGAGAGAGAGAGAGAGAGAGAGAGACUGAGAACUGAGACUCAGUUCACUUCCUCCUUGAGAGAGAGACUCAGCUCACUUCCUCCUUUUUACUGGGUCCAGGAUCCUAUCCCGUGGGACGGUGCGGCCCUCUUAUGGGGAGUGUCUUCCAAUUUCAAUGAACCUUAUCAAGAUAGUCCCAAUAAGCUGCACGGGGAAGCCCGUCUCCUAGGUGACUCUGUUGACAAUCAAUGCUAACCCCCGCACCUCUGUCAUAGCCAGAUAGGGCUCUCUUCUGUACUUGUUUUGGGUUCGCCAAGGUGACUUAUCUGUCAGUGCCACAGGUUUUAAUGGCCGUGGCUUUAGAAUGCUCCCCUCUGUCUCUGUCUGGGUUUCCCCAUCUGUGUAGAUCUUCUUUUAUGGCUUCCAAUAAGACUCCGUUAAACUUUGCUGUAUACUUUUAUUUAAAUACCAUUUGGCUCCCAUCACUUUUGACAAAUGGGAUAUUUUCUUCCCUUUAUACUAGCUGUUUAGGGCUAAUACCCAGGAAAUAACUUAAAACAUUUAUCACCAAUCUGUCCGACUUAAUACACUGCCUUAUCUACUUGUGUCAUUAAUUUGUUUUACUGGUUUUUAUUUUUGGAGGGUACGCGGUCAUAUUCAGCAAAAAGAAGCCAUGCUCGCCCACCCCAGAUGUUUAUUACUGAUGCCUUUACUUAUAUAUCUUCGGAGACUACUAAUCCACAGCGGGCAGAAAUGCUACUGUGGAUGCAGUGUCUCUUUGCUGGUUUUGAUGGAAGAAGCAAUUGGCAUUUGGUGCCUUGAGGACCCUAAUUCUUCCUUUCUGUUAGGUGAUAUUUUUAACCCCACUUAUUUAGAAAGAUAGGAUCUCAUCAAAUUUUUACCAACUAUUUUUUCAGUAUGUUUGUGGAACCAUUUGUUUUGUUCUUUUAGCUGAGACACACAUAUAUGUAUUUAUACAUAUGUAUACAGAAAUACAUACAUACACACAUAUAUACAUAUAUACGUACAUAUAUGCAUUUGUACAUAUGUGUACACAUAUACAUACAAACAUGCACACAUGCACAUAUAUAGACAUAUGCAUGCAAACAUAUAUACACAUACAUAUGCAUACAUAUAUGCACAUAUGUAUACAUACACACAUAAACAUAUAUACAUAAAACACACGCUUAUACAUACAUAUUCAUACACAUAUAAUAUAAAUACAUACACACAUAUACACAUAUGCAUACAUACACACAUAUAUAUACACAUACACAUAUACAUACAUAUAUACAUUUAUACAUAUGUAUUAUACAUACUCACAUAUUAUACACGCAUAUAUACAUACAUAUACAUGUAUAUACAUACAUAUACACAUAUAUACAUACAUAAACACAUGCAUAUACACACAUACACACACGAGUCUAGAUUUCACUAUGUAGCCCUGGCUGGCCUGUAACUCACUAUGUAGACAAAGCUUGCCUGGAACUCACAGAGGUCUGUCUGCCUCUGUGCACUUAAGAUUUAAGAAGUGCAUCAGCCACCAUGUCUGACUUGAGAUGUGACUUUUGAAAAUGUUGGUAGACUUUUGAGCAUCAGUCAUCCUAGCCCUUCCGAAGUGAACCCUGUUUGGGUCAAUGCUUGUUGUGGUACUUUUGCUGGGUCCUCUGUGUAACUACUUGUGCCUGUGUUCCAGGGGGAUGUUGUAGACCUCUGUCUGCUUUCAGAUGGUCCGCAGGCUUGGUGUCAAGGGCAGCACUAACCAGAGCCCAGACAAGAGCCACUGUUGGGAGGACCCAUCCCCUACUUUGCAAAGGCCUUGGCGCUGUUGCUAGCACUUCUUCUUUCCUUCCACUUCAGUACAAUGAGUCUGGUGGUCAGAGGCGCUCUCCCAGAGUGUGGAGAUUCAGAGUUAAGAGAGUUCUCACACAAUGGACCAGCUUUAAAAGCAAGGGAGGAGGGACUGUAGAGAUGGCCCAUUGGUUAAGAACACUGGCUGCACUUGUAGAGAACCCGAGUUCAAUUCCUAGCGUCCAUAUAGCAGCUCACGGCCAUCUGUAACUCUUGUUCUAGGAGAUCUGGUACCCUCUUCUGGCUUCCUCUGGUAUCAGGCAUUCACACUGAACACAUACUGGCAGAACACUCACACACAUAAAAUAAAAAAUAAAUCUUAAAAAAAAAUAAAAGGAGGGACUCUCUUUUUCUACUUCCUCUCUUACCCCCUCCUUGUUCUUCUCUCCAGCCCUUCCUGGGAUCAUGGAACCCCAAACCUCAUUCGUGCGUACUCUACCCAGUCUGUACUUUUCUGUGUUGCCUUAGUAACAAAUCUACUUCUUGACUUCGAUUUGGACCUUGCUCUAAGAGGUCUUGAAAUAGCGGGGCCACCAGAGUAAGAAGGAAGGAUUUGAACUGGAAGUAUCUUUUAGAGAAGAGAAUUGACCGGCUGCUCUGUGACCUUUCGAAACCGAGCUGGAAGUUCUCCUGGCUCUGAAGUUCAGAUGCCACACUCAGGCUGUGUCUUCUAGAGAGAGACAACAGGAAGGGCAGGAGGCUCACUGCUCUCAUUGAUGCUCCGCCCCCUUCUCCUCUGGCCGAGCUCAUUGAUGCUCCGCCCCCUUCUCCUCUGGCCGAGCUCAUUGAUGCUCCGCCCCCUUCUCCUCUGGCCGAGCUCAUUGAUGCUCCGCCCCCUUCUCCUCCGGCGGAGCUCUGAGGCUCUAAGUACUACACUACAGGCGCUCCGGGCUUCUCCGUGAGUGACACCCCAUGUUGGACCUUUCUUCAGCAGGACUUAAAGUAACAAUAGAUGCCAGCCAGUCAAGUGUGAUUCCCCCUUUUCAAAUUCUGAGUGCUCCCCAAUGCAGGAGUAGACGUGGGCUUCUGGUCAGGUGUUUAAGUGGGGGACUGCAAGCUGAGAGUUACGUUCCUCUGUGCCUGUGAAUAUCUGGCCAAGCAGGUGACAGCUUUAGACUUUACAGCAGCACAAACCACCUCACUGAUCACUCCCCAGGGCAGCUGAUGGCUCCUGGGACCCAACGCAACUAACCAUCUUACCACCACAUUUCCUUGUCUUCUUAUCCGGUCUGACUCCAUGUUGCUCCCGCCAUGCCUUUCUGCUUAGUGUUUGGUCAAGCCACACUCUCACAGCUUCCACCUUCUCCAGGCUUCUGAGCAGCUGAUCCUUCUUAACAUCCAGGUCUCUUCCCAACCCCCCCUCUUCAACCUUGCCACCACCGCCUCCCUGAGAAUUCUUCUCUCUGGCAACGGCUUUUCCCUAAUGGAAGGGUAGCAGUGAAACACAUUCAUAUUUCACCGGGUAGUUGGCAUGUAUCAGCCAAGCUCCAACUGCCAGGGGACCAUGGCAUUCUGCAAUGAGGCGGCAAGCUCAUUACGAAACGCUGAGAACAGGGACUGAAAAUACUGCUCAGGGGUUAAGUUGUGUACAGCUCUUACCGAGGACUGGAGUUGGGUUCCCAGGGCUCGCACUGGACAACUCCUAACUGCCGGAAACUGCAGCUCCAAGGAAUCGGACACCCUCCCUUCUGAGCUGUGCUGGCACCUGCAUUCAUGUGCAUGCCCACAGACAAGGGCACAUAAUUAAAAAGAGUCUUAGAAAUGCCUGGGUCUGUAUCCCACCAAGGCAUCUGUGACUUCUACUCUUGUGAUGAGCUGAACCGUAAAGUGGCACUUCUUAGUCCUUUUGGGCUUGUGAAGCAAACAUUCUGUGACCCAGGCAGUGUGUUAAGGAUGAUUUUCCAUAGCUCUCAGAGGAUGUAAAGACGUCAAUGUCUGGCGAGGGCUCCUUCCAGGUUCUCCAAUGACAGGAUGCAGCAAGGGAGCACUUCAGAGUCUGUCAGAAGGCAUUAGUGCCAUCCCCAUGACUAGUGUCUUCCCAAAGCCUCACUUUCUGAUCCCUCCCACUGGGGGUGGCUAUUUCAAUCUGCGUCGGGGUGGGGCACAGAGCUCCAGGCCACAGCCUAGAGGUUUCAUGCAGGUUGAUGUUAUAGGUUGAUGGUUUCAGUAUUAGCCACGCUGUCGAUUUUGUUCAACCCGAUGUACAAAUUCGGUGAUUCCAGAAGAAAGUCACAGCAGAGUGUAAAGAAAGUAACGAGCAUUAAAAACAAAACAAAACAAAACAAAACAAAACAAAAACAAAAAACCCCAAAAACCUAGAACUGCGAAAGAAACAGGACAGUUGAGGCAAGUUUGAGGAAAGUCACCAGAGUCCAAGGAAGGUCAUGAAGGGCAAGAUGACUACAAAUUUUAUACCCUGGUGAUCCAGCCCAGACCAGCCUAAGCCUGUCAUGUGGCAUUUGCGGAAGGGUCCCCCAUGAUGUCUCUCUGCCUUGACUGUCUUUGGUACCAUUUGCGCAGCAGUCUCUGGGGCCGGGAGAGGCUGGAGUCUGAUGGGCAAGAUCACGGCCAUGGGGAUGACUGGAGUGUGCUUGGAGCAUCUCAAACGUUUUUUUAAACACAGACCCAGAAACUUUAGAUGGAGUAGCAGCUUUCCUAGAGGUUCACCCCUCAUCCUUAAGCCCAGACACUGCCCUUCCUUUAAUGAUGGUAAAGGACACAUAGCAUAAAGUUCCCAUGUUAACUACUUGCAACAUGGAAUUUGGUGGUCUUAGAGUGGUCACGAUGUAGGGUAGCCAUCAUCACCAUCACCAUCAUCACCAUCACCAUCACCAUCACCAUCAUAAUCAUCACCAUCACCAUCACCAUCAUCAUCACCACCACCAUCAUCAUCAUCAUCAUCAUCAUUAUCAUCAUCAUUGGCUUCCUCAACCUCAUCACCUUGUGUUGGCUGUUCAUUGCUGUAACAAAGUCCCGAGGGAAGCAGCUUAAAAAAAAGGAAGGGUUUACUUCAGCUCAUAGUUUCGGUUCACAGUUGUUUGGGCCUGGUUUUCCAGGCCUGUGGCCAGCAGAGUUAUCUUGGAGAGAACCAGAAGAGACAGUGUCUGCAAUACCAGCAGAGGCCAGAAGAGGGCACUGAAUCCUCCGGAGCUGGAGUUACAGAAGGUUGGGAGUCACCUCAGGCACCUGAGAAGCAGAGACAGGAAGCAGAAGUUCCCACUAUCUCCUUCGAGGGCAUGCUUCUGAUGGCCUGACUUCCUCCUACCACACUUCCACUAGCUUCCCAUAGCACCAUAGGCACUGGCAAUCCUUUGUCACAAGCAACCCUAAGCAGAAACCCAUUCUCCUGUUACCAGCUGCCCCCACUCUGCCUUCUCAGCUGUGUCAACGACACAAACCUAGUCACCUGGGAAGAAGACACCUCCAUUGAGGAACUGCCUCCAUUAGCUUGACCUGGGGGCAUGUGUCUACCAGGCAGUUUUUUUUUUUUUUUAUCUGUUCAGCCAACUGUGGGCGGCACCAUCCCUAGGCCUAGAUGAUUCUGGGCUGUAUAAGAAAGCAGGCAAAAUAAUAUAGUUGCAAGUUGCUUCCACAGUUUCUGUUGUAGCUCCUGCUUGAGUUCAUACCCUGACGCCCUCUGUGAUGAAGUAUGAUCUGGGAGCGUAAGACAAAUAAACCCCUUCUUCCUCAAGUCGUUUUUAGUCAUGCUGUGGAUCUCAAAAUUUGAAAAAGCAAGCCAGAGCACUCUGCAAGCGCGGAUCUGUUUUCUGUUUGCAUGGAUUCCUCUGGACAGCUCAGUUAAACGUGGCCUUCUGCCUAACUUCUCGCUCGGAUCGUGUUUUAAGAGCAGCCCACGUUGUAGCAUGUGGCAGAACCUCAUUUCUCUCUGGAGCUGAGCGUGGACCUCAUUUGCAUAUCCACUUAUCGCUGCCGAGCAUUUGGUGUCUACUCGUUGGCUAUAGUCAAGCAGCCUUUGUGUGUGGUGUGCUUUGAACACCUUUACUGCUUUUCUAUGCCCAGACACAAGUGGGCUUACAGGUCAAGUGCUGACUCUGGAUCAGAUGGGCCUCACAGAAGCUGUCCUAUUCAUGGUCAGCUAUAGUCUCUGUUUCCUCACAGGCUUGCUUUAUUCUGGAACGUUCCUGUUAUUGAGAAUUGGGGGGUCUCUUCUCGGACUUUCUAAGCCCAGCAGAGCGGGAUACCUGAAACAAUGUUCUGAUUCAAGUCGCCAAAACACGGAGUCUUGCAGACCCCACGCAAGGAGUCCCUCGCUAAGGGGUUCCCGUCAGGAUGCCUGUUCUGUCAGGUGUGAAGCCCACAGAGAUGUGUCUUUCCUUUCUAAAUUCGGCAACAGGGCAGCAGGCAGCAUCUCCAGAGGACUCGCCUCUGAUGCCGUGUGGAAUAUGGUUCUGCCUGCUCUUCACCACCUGAGUGGUGCAGAAAACAAGGCUUGGCAGAUAAUCGUCUAAAAGCCCAAGUUAUUCACCAAAAGACAUAUUUAGAGCCCCCUGAGAAUGGUACCCAAUCCCCAUAGCCCAAGCAGCCAGACAUUCCCAUGAUCCUCCUUGCCCUGUCCUGCUCUGAGAAGUGCUAACCUCCUGCUGUCUGAGUGAUUUCUCCCCCUAUCUCAUCCCUGCCGCCCUAAUCCCCCUUUCCCCCCUCCUUUUUUAUGAUUUAAAUUUAUUCUCUUGUGGUUCUAGAAGCCAGAAUGGAAACAUCAGGGUGUUCCCAGGGCUGGCUUCCGGGAGCUUCUGGGAGAACUCUUCCUGUCUUUUCCAGCUGUGAGAGACACCACGAUCUUGCCUAAGGCUAUCCGCAGGUGAGCUGCAGUUGUCUCCCAAAUGCUAAUGUACGUGCGUCCGAAUCCCUGAGAUCUUGUCACGGAGCAGUUACGAUGUGACUUGGUGGAUCUGGUUCUCUGGUACUCUUUCGGGAUGUCAAGUUCCCAGGAUGGUGUGGUCCUGAGAGACAUACUCACCGGUCCUCAUCCUUGGGACCUCUGCAUAGCAGUUCCAGGAAGCCAUUCCCCUCAUGAACUGUUGAAGGGCCCUGGCAGAUGCACGGGAGGUUUUCCAGAUGGCAGAGGUGAUUAAACCCUGAAUUAUCUGCGAGGAGGGGUGGUGGAGUGGUCUGGAGGACAGGUGGACAGCCGUAUUCAGUGCGCUGGGGUGGGUCCUACCUCGUAGGCAUUAUCAGACUGUAAGUUCUUUUGUGGAUCUCCCACUCUUGGCAUUUGGAGGCGAGGGCUCAUGGAGGAGCGGGCAGGAGGCCGUUCUCAGGUGUGGAAAGGCUACUCCAGCAAUCAUGAAGUGUGAAUUAGGACAGAGAAAAAGCUCUUUCCUUGGUUCACCGCUCUCCCCCCCCCCCUUCCCAUGUUUGUUUAGAGGGAGAGAUGGUGGGGGAAAGGAGCAGGGAGACUCCAACAUCCUGUGAUGCACUGAAUGUCAGCCGAUGUCCACAGAAGUCUGGUGACUCGGUAUGCACCCUGCCAUGCAGGAUUUUGGCACUUGGAAACGCAUCUUAUGUGAGCCCAUGCAGCAACUGCAGGGACCAAUGGAGGUCACACUUCUCUCUCCUGUCACGGACUUCAGCUCCCAGGAGCAGCCCAGGAACCACCAGAAGUGCCAGCCCGUCAGGAUGCCGAGCCCUUUCAACAGGCCCGUGAUCGAUGUUCCUGCCUGAGUGGCUGCUUGUGGCUGUCCCCUGUGGCCUAUGUGUAAGGCUCUUGGUGGCUGACACGCAACAAUUUUUUCUCCUGAUUUUCUUUUCAUUUUGAGCACUGGUAUGAACAUGUGGCCCGGUGGUAAGAUGUGGUGACUGGGAGGUGACUAGAAGAGGUGUUGGGGACUUGUGUGCUGACCUGUGGAAAUACUUCCUUCACAUGAUUGAUUACACACUCUCUUAUUGCCUUAGUGUGUGUGUGUGUGUGUGUGUGUGUGUAGGCCAUGCAUCAGUAUGAGGUGUCUUUAUUGCUCUCCACAUUAUUAUUAUUAUUAUUAUUAUUAUUAUUAUUAUCAUCAUCAUUACUAUGACCUUUAAAGGAUUUUAAUCUUUUAUUUUAUCUUAUUUAUUUUGAAAACUUAAAAAAAAUUGCGUAUUGGUGUUCUGCCUGCCUGAGGUCAUCAGAUCACUUGGAGGGGGAGUUACAGUUUUGAGCUGCCAUGGGUUGCUGGGAAUGGACCCCAGGGUCCUCUGGGAGAGCAGCCAGUGCUCUUAACCGUGGAGCUAUCUCUCCAGCCCUUAUUUUAUUAUCUUUAAUUACGCGUACGUAUGUGGGUCUGUGUGCUUACCUGAGUGCUCAGAGCUGGUGUUUCAGGCAGCUGUGUGCCUCCUACGGUGGGUGCCAGGGCGCA